AUUUUUAUUGCAGCAUUAUUCACAAUAGCCAAACAGGGAAACAACCUAAGUGUCUGACAACAAAUAAAUGGAUAAAGAAAGUAUGGUAUGCAUAUAAAGGGAAUAUUAUUCAGCCAUGACAAAUAAGGAAAUCAUGUUCUUUGUCACAACAAGGCUGGACUGUGAAGGCAUAUGUUAAGUGGAACAAGCCAAAGACACACUGCAUGGCGUUGUUUACAUGUGGAAUCUAAAAUACAAGCAGAACUGAUAGAAACAGAAUAGAAAAGAGGUUGUGGCAGAGGCUUGGGGGUGAGGGAAGAAGGGGCUUCCUCUGCUGAUUGGCUGGGCGGGGGGCCUGGACACACACUGAGAGACCAGAGGACAGGACUCUGGUUGGAGGUGGGGCUCAGGUGGGGUGAAAACAGCCGGGACAGAGCCUCUGGCUGCAGGAGGGAGUGGCUUCUCCUCUGUGGACCUCUGAGCAAGUCCCUGUCCCUCUUUGAGACUCCUCAUCUGGAGAAAGGAGGGUGAUGAUCCUGUGGGGCAGGACUCACAGGGUUGGUGAUGAGGUUCAAGGGAGGGAGGGAGUGUGCUGGAGGUGUGGGAGGAGAACAAAGAUGCCAGUAAUAUGACACUGAGUCCUCAGGAGACCCUGUGAGGUAGGUGGAGUUGUCCUCACACUUUCCAGAUGAGGAAAUGGGCUCAGGGAGGCCCGGCCAAAGGCCCAAAGCUGCAUACAGUGCGAGUGUUAGAGCUGGGACUGUUCUGGAAUCAGAGUGCCCUGUAGGACAAAGUAGCACGGAUACCAACUGACUUGGAGGGGAGACUGCCAAGUUUGCCGUCCUGGAGACGAGCUUCCAGAGAGCCCACAAGCAGCAGCAGCAGGUUUGCUGGGCAAGUUUGACAACAGAGAAGUGGGAGACCCACCAAACUGGCAGGGUGGAGGAAGAGGGCUGGCAUCAAAGACAACAUCCUGGAGGAGGGGCUGUUUACACCUGUCUCUGAGAACAGGAAUACAAAGUAAUGAGGGAGACCUGGCUCCUCAGAGGGCUGCUAAUCAUUACAACCUAGAGCCUGAGGAAAAAUUUGGAGCCUGUUUUCAGUAUAUGGAGCAACUCAGUGAGGAUGAAGGCUACAACUUGUCCUACCAGCUGGAGCUCUGGUCCUAGAUGGCCAGCAGAACACUCAAGGCCGAGAGGGGCUGACCACCAGAGAGCUCAGCGGCGAAUGGGUGUCCAGGCUACUGUGGCUGAAUCCUAGGGGCUCGAGCGACCAGGCCUCCGAAACAGAGUGCAGUACCAGUGGCGGAUCACACUUCUGAGACCAGCUCAAGUAAGGCAGCAGCAGGGACCCAGCGGGGGCUCUCAUAGGCACUGGGUCAGCCCCUCCUCUGAGGUGAAGAACACUGUGAGCCUUUCCGUGGGGUCCCCUGAAGGGCAGAAUAAAAGAUGACCCUGCUUCAUCCCCCAGCUGCGCUUCCCUAAGGCCUAUUUACCUAUUGCCUAUUGUGGAGGGGUAACGUUUAUUUGUUGUGAGCAGCAAAUGCUGGAUUUGAAUAUUAUUAUACUAAAAUCCUAUUUCUUUUA